UACGGAGGAUGCAAGCGUUAUCCGGAUUCAUUGGGUUUAAAGGGUGCGUAGGCGGGAUGAUAAGUCAGAGGUGAAAGCCAGCAGCUCAACUGUUGAACUGCCUUUGAUACUGUCGUUCUUGAAUAUGGUUGGAGUGGGCGGAAUGUGACAUGUAGCGGUGAAAUGCUUAGAUAUGUCACAGAACACCGAUCGCGAAGGCAGCUCACUAAGCCAUCAUUGACGCUGAUGCACGAAAGCGUGGGGAGCAAACAGG
rnacentral:rRNA from 1 species